GGUUAAGCGACUAAGCGUACACGGUGGAUGCCCUGGCAGUCAGAGGCGAUGAAGGGCGUGCUAAUCUGCGAUAAGCGCCGGUAAGGUGAUAUGAACCGUUAUAACCGGCGAUUUCCGAAUGGGGAAACCCAGUGUGAUUCGUCACACUAUCAUUAACUGAAUCCAUAGGUUAAUGAGGCGAACCGGGGGAACUGAAACAUCUAAGUACCCCGAGGAAAAGAAAUCAACCGAGAUUCCCCCAGUAGCGGCGAGCGAACGGGGAGGAGCCCAGAGCCUGAAUCAGCAUGUGUGUUAGUGGAAGCGUCUGGAAAGGCGCGCGAUACAGGGUGACAGCCCCGUACACAAAAGCGCAUGUGCUGUGAGCUCGAUGAGUAGGGCGGGACACGUGGUAUCCUGUCUGAAUAUGGGGGGACCAUCCUCCAAGGCUAAAUACUCCUGACUGACCGAUAGUGAACCAGUACCGUGAGGGAAAGGCGAAAAGAACCCCGGCGAGGGGAGUGAAAAAGAACCUGAAACCGUGUACGUACAAGCAGUGGGAGCACAGGUUUACCUGUGUGACUGCGUACCUUUUGUAUAAUGGGUCAGCGACUUAUAUUCUGUAGCAAGGUUAACCGAAUAGGGGAGCCGGAGGGAAACCGAGUCUUAAUUGGGCGUUAAGUUGCAGGGUAUAGACCCGAAACCCGGUGAUCUAGCCAUGGGCAGGUUGAAGGUUGGGUAACACUAACUGGAGGACCGAACCGACUAAUGUUGAAAAAUUAGCGGAUGACCUGUGGCUGGGGGUGAAAGGCCAAUCAAACCGGGAGAUAGCUGGUUCUCCCCGAAAGCUAUUUAGGUAGCGCCUCGUGAAUUCAUCUCCGGGGGUAGAGCACUGUUUCGGCUAGGGGGCCAUCCCGGCUUACCAACCCGAUGCAAACUGCGAAUACCGGAGAAUGUUAUCACGGGAGACACACGGCGGGUGCUAACGUCCGUCGUGAAGAGGGAAACAACCCAGACCGCCAGCUAAGGUCCCAAAGUCAUGGUUAAGUGGGAAACGAUGUGGGAAGGCCCAGACAGCCAGGAUGUUGGCUUAGAAGCAGCCAUCAUUUAAAGAAAGCGUAAUAGCUCACUGGUCGAGUCGGCCUGCGCGGAAGAUGUAACGGGGCUAAACCAUGCACCGAAGCUGCGGCAGCGAACGUAUCACCCAAGACAACUUUACGGAGUUGACGAUUGACGGAGCGAAGCGACGUCAAAGCGUUCAUUAAAGUCGAGUUGGCUUAGGGAUACGUUCGUUGGGUAGGGGAGCGUUCUGUAAGCCUGUGAAGGUGUGUCGUGAGGCAUGCUGGAGGUAUCAGAAGUGCGAAUGCUGACAUAAGUAACGAUAAAGCGGGUGAAAAGCCCGCUCGCCGGAAGACCAAGGGUUCCUGUCCAACGUUAAUCGGGGCAGGGUGAGUCGACCCCUAAGGCGAGGCCGAAAGGCGUAGUCGAUGGGAAACGGGUUAAUAUUCCCGUACUUGGUGUUACUGCGAAGGGGGGACGGAGAAGGCUAUGUUGGCCGGGCGACGGUUGUCCCGGUUUAAGCGUGUAGGUGUGUGUUCCAGGUAAAUCCGGUUCACUUUAACACUGAGGCGUGACGACGAGGCACUACGGUGCUGAAGCAACAAAUGCCCUGCUUCCAGGAAAAGCCUCUAAGCAUCAGGUAACACGAAAUCGUACCCCAAACCGACACAGGUGGUCAGGUAGAGAAUACCAAGGCGCUUGAGAGAACUCGGGUGAAGGAACUAGGCAAAAUGGUGCCGUAACUUCGGGAGAAGGCACGCUGACACGUAGGUGAAGUGAUUUACUCAUGGAGCUGAAGUCAGUCGAAGAUACCAGCUGGCUGCAACUGUUUAUUAAAAACACAGCACUGUGCAAACACGAAAGUGGACGUAUACGGUGUGACGCCUGCCCGGUGCCGGAAGGUUAAUUGAUGGGGUCAGCGUAAGCGAAGCUCCUGAUCGAAGCCCCGGUAAACGGCGGCCGUAACUAUAACGGUCCUAAGGUAGCGAAAUUCCUUGUCGGGUAAGUUCCGACCUGCACGAAUGGCGUAAUGAUGGCCAGGCUGUCUCCACCCGAGACUCAGUGAAAUUGAACUCGCUGUGAAGAUGCAGUGUACCCGCGGCAAGACGGAAAGACCCCGUGAACCUUUACUAUAGCUUGACACUGAACAUUGAGCCUUGAUGUGUAGGAUAGGUGGGAGGCUUUGAAGUGUGGACGCCAGUCUGCAUGGAGCCGACCUUGAAAUACCACCCUUUAAUGUUUGAUGUUCUAACGUGGACCCGUAAUCCGGGUUGCGGACAGUGUCUGGUGGGUAGUUUGACUGGGGCGGUCUCCUCCUAAAGAGUAACGGAGGAGCACGAAGGUUGGCUAAUCCUGGUCGGACAUCAGGAGGUUAGUGCAAUGGCAUAAGCCAGCUUGACUGCGAGCGUGACGGCGCGAGCAGGUGCGAAAGCAGGUCAUAGUGAUCCGGUGGUUCUGAAUGGAAGGGCCAUCGCUCAACGGAUAAAAGGUACUCCGGGGAUAACAGGCUGAUACCGCCCAAGAGUUCAUAUCGACGGCGGUGUUUGGCACCUCGAUGUCGGCUCAUCACAUCCUGGGGCUGAAGUAGGUCCCAAGGGUAUGGCUGUUCGCCAUUUAAAGUGGUACGCGAGCUGGGUUUAGAACGUCGUGAGACAGUUCGGUCCCUAUCUGCCGUGGGCGCUGGAGAACUGAGGGGGGCUGCUCCUAGUACGAGAGGACCGGAGUGGACGCAUCACUGGUGUUCGGGUUGUCAUGCCAAUGGCACUGCCCGGUAGCUAAAUGCGGAAGAGAUAAGUGCUGAAAGCAUCUAAGCACGAAACUUGCCCCGAGAUGAGUUCUCCCUGAGACUUAGAGUCUCCUGAAGGAACGUUGAAGACGACGACGUUGAUAGGCCGGGUGUGUAAGCGCAGCGAUGCGUUGAGCUAACCGGUACUAAUGAACCGUGAGGCUUAACCUU
rnacentral:rRNA from 1 species